GUGCUGGCUUUGUCGUGUGGGUACUUCGUAAACCUGUUGGUAACAAUUUGCACUGCUAGCGCUCAUGCAAAGGACGCGGGUUCGAACCCCGCACCCCUUUAGACCCACUGACGCCAUCCAGCACUUUU
rnacentral:vault_RNA from 1 species